UACAGAGGUCCCAAGCGUUGUUCGGAUUCAUUGGGCGUAAAGGGUGCGUAGGCGGCGCGGUAAGUCGGGUGUGAAAUCUCGGAGCUUAACUCCGAAACUGCAUUCGAUACUGCCGUGCUUGAGGACUGGAGAGGAGACUGGAAUUUACGGUGUAGCGGUGAAAUGCGUAGAUAUUCGCAAGAACACCAGUGGCGAAGGCGGCUCACUGGCCCGGUACUGACGCUGAGGUGCGAAAGCGUGGGGAGCAAACAGG
rnacentral:rRNA from 1 species